UACAGGAGGGGGCAAGCGUUGUUCGGAAUUACUGGGCGUAAAGGGCGCGUAGGCGGCCUUCUAAGUCGAACGUGAAAUCCCCGGGCUCAACCCGGGAACUGCGUCCGAUACUGGAAGGCUUGAAUCCGGGAGAGGGAUGCGGAAUUCCAGGUGUAGCGGUGAAAUGCGUAGAUAUCUGGAGGAACACCGGUGGCGAAGGCGGCAUCCUGGACCGGCAUUGACGCUGAGGCGCGAAAGCCAGGGGAGCAAACGGG
rnacentral:rRNA from 1 species